GAAACAAAAGAAGGCAAAACUGAAACAAAAAUGUAAUGUACAUUUUUAAAUAGGCAACCUGGCAACCCCUUAACAUGACAUAUAUUUUUUUUCCUCUAUUUAUUUAAAAAUAAAUAUAUAGUCAACUAAAUGUACAUAUUUUAAGUAAAUCUGUUUCGUAAAAGUGAUUAAAAUGUACAUUACACUACAUUAUUUCUAUCUGCUUAAAAACUGAAUUUCAAACACUGUCACAUUAUGAUACUUAUGUUAUACAAACUUGACUUUUAAACAAAUAGGAGAAUUUUUAGGUAAAAUAACGCAGCGGCAAUGAAGAGCAAUCGCUAACCCUCCGCCUUCAUUUCAGAGACUUUAAAACAAACACAGACCACAAACUGUCUCCCAGCGGUCUGUGUAUGUGAUCAUGAGAAGUCUACCGAUGUUUUGUUUUUCUAGUUGUCAUAGAAAAACAAUGUAACAGGGCUUUGUUUUAACAAUGUUAUACAGGGUGGGCCAUAAGUUUCCAUACAUAGGAUAAUGUCAAAUGUAUAUGUAUUUUAUAUUUCAGAUACCCAAGAAGAUGAGUUUGACAAAAGAGCAAAGAAUUGAAAUUAUACUGAUGACUGGAUCGGGAAGCAGUUGCACGAAACUUUAACAGAAAACAUGGAACCAGCAUCAUGCAUGACACUGUGGCAAAACUUAUUUGCAAGUUUCAGAAAACUGGAAAUGUUGCAGAUCAACCACGAAGUGGUCCAAGACGGGCAGCGAUUACACAGAGUCCCACAAAAAUAAAAACUGUUGUCGAAUAUAAACUGUUUAUUUUCUCUAUGUAUGGAAACUUAUGGCCCACCCUGUAGAUGUGAAGUUUGUCAAAAUUUGUUCAUUUAUUCUUCAAAUUUAUUUUAUAUAGUCAAAAAUAUAUUUUCCCCAGACAUUUUUUUGCUGUAUAAUUUCUGUUACGCUGCUCUUGGCAGCUGGUGGUUACCGUAGCAACAAGUAACCCACAGCUCCGACCCUUUUUUCUGUUAACUACGGGCCAUGACGGUGGGUUUGGUGAAGCGCAUUAAUAAAAGGACCAGGAGGACGAUGCUGAGCAAAGCUAUCACCACCUUACAGGCUGUCAGCUGCCCCUCAAAAUCUGGGAGAUUCUCAACUGGAGACAAACAGACAAUAUUCUCUAAAGUCUUAAUGAUAACAUCAUGCAAAGUAAGGAAGGAACGAACUUUACCAAGCAUGAACAGUAUCUAAUAGCUUCAGUGGGGUUUAAAUAAAGUCAUUUGGACAGACUUCUAUGAAAUUUAGCAAAAA